CGUCGAGCGGCGGACGGGUGAGUAAUGCCUAGGAAAUUGCCCUGAUGUGGGGGAUAACCAUUGGAAACGAUGGCUAAUACCGCAUGAUGCCUACGGGCCAAAGAGGGGGACCUUCGGGCCUCUCGCGUCAGGAUAUGCCUAGGUGGGAUUAGCUAGUUGGUGAGGUAAGGGCUCACCAAGGCGACGAUCCCUAGCUGGUCUGAGAGGAUGAUCAGCCACACUGGAACUGAGACACGGUCCAGACUCCUACGGGAGGCAGCAGUGGGGAAUAUUGCACAAUGGGCGCAAGCCUGAUGCAGCCAUGCCGCGUGUGUGAAGAAGGCCUUCGGGUUGUAAAGCACUUUCAGUCGUGAGGAAGGUAGUGUAGUUAAUAGCUGCAUUAUUUGACGUUAGCGACAGAAGAAGCACCGGCUAACUCCGUGCCAGCAGCCGCGGUAAUACGGAGGGUGCGAGCGUUAAUCGGAAUUACUGGGCGUAAAGCGCAUGCAGGUGGUUUGUUAAGUCAGAUGUGAAAGCCCGGGGCUCAACCUCGGAAUUGCAUUUGAAACUGGCAGACUAGAGUACUGUAGAGGGGGGUAGAAUUUCAGGUGUAGCGGUGAAAUGCGUAGAGAUCUGAAGGAAUACCGGUGGCGAAGGCGGCCCCCUGGACAGAUACUGACACUCAGAUGCGAAAGCGUGGGGAGCAAACAGGAUUAGAUACCCUGGUAGUCCACGCCGUAAACGAUGUCUACUUGGAGGUUGUGGCCUUGAGCCGUGGCUUUCGGAGCUAACGCGUUAAGUAGACCGCCUGGGGAGUACGGUCGCAAGAUUAAAACUCAAAUGAAUUGACGGGGGCCCGCACAAGCGGUGGAGCAUGUGGUUUAAUUCGAUGCAACGCGAAGAACCUUACCUACUCUUGACAUCCAGAGAACUUUCCAGAGAUGGAUUGGUGCCUUCGGGAACUCUGAGACAGGUGCUGCAUGGCUGUCGUCAGCUCGUGUUGUGAAAUGUUGGGUUAAGUCCCGCAACGAGCGCAACCCUUAUCCUUGUUUGCCAGCGAGUAAUGUCGGGAACUCCAGGGAGACUGCCGGUGAUAAACCGGAGGAAGGUGGGGACGACGUCAAGUCAUCAUGGCCCUUACGAGUAGGGCUACACACGUGCUACAAUGGCGCAUACAGAGGGCAGCCAACUUGCGAAAGUGAGCGAAUCCCAAAAAGUGCGUCGUAGUCCGGAUUGGAGUCUGCAACUCGACUCCAUGAAGUCGGAAUCGCUAGUAAUCGUGGAUCAGAAUGCCACGGUGAAUACGUUCCCGGGCCUUGUACACACCGCCCGUCACACCAUGGGAGUGGGCUGCAAAAGAAGUAGGUAGUUUAACCUUCGGGGGGACGCUUACCACUUUGUGGUUCAUGACUGGGGUGAAGUCGUAACAAGGUAGCGCUAGGGGAACCUGGCGCUG
rnacentral:rRNA from 1 species